AGGUUUUUGUCUACAAUGAAGCAGAAUGCCUUGCAAGGCGUCGUGCCCAAUGAGACAGAGGAUCUGAAUGUAGAACACCUGCAGAUGCUCCUCCUCAUUUUCCACAAUUUCACUGAGACAGGCCGGCGGGCCAUAUUGUCGCUUUUUGUCCAGAUCAUCCAGGAGUUGAGCGUCAACAUGGAUGCUCAGAUGCGCUUCGUGCCACUUAUCUUGGCUCGCCUCCUUCUCAUCUUUGAUUAUCUGCUUCAUCAGUACUCCAAAGCCCCUGUGUAUCUAUUUGAGCAGGUACAGCAUAACCUGCUAAGUCCUCCCUUUGGGUGGGCAAGUGGAUCCCAGGACAGCAACAGCCGCCGGGCAACCACUCCUCUCUAUCAUGGAUUCAAAGAAGUAGAAGAAAACUGGUCUAAGCAUUUCUCAUCAGAUGCUGUCCCACAGCCCAGAUUCUACUGUGUCCUGUCCCCAGAAGCCUCAGAGGAUGAUUUGAACCGACUUGAUUCUGUGGCAUGUGACGUCCUUUUCUCCAAGCUUGUCAAGUAUGAUGAGCUUUAUGCUGCACUGACAGCCCUGCUUGCAGCUGGGUCCCAGCUUGAUACAGUUAGGAGAAAGGAAAACAAGAAUGUAACAGCCUUGGAGGCCUGUGCCCUUCAAUAUUACUUCUUGAUACUGUGGAGGAUCCUAGGAAUUUUACCACCAUCAAAGACUUACAUUAACCAGCUAUCCAUGAACUCACCUGAGAUGAGCGAAUGUGACAUCUUGCACACUCUGCGAUGGUCUUCUCGGCUCCGGAUCAGCUCCUAUGUCAACUGGAUAAAGGAUCACCUUAUCAAACAGGGAAUGAAGGCUGAGCAUGCUAGCUCGCUUCUAGAACUGGCAUCCACCACUAAGUGUAGCUCAGUGAAAUAUGAUGUUGAAAUAGUAGAGGAAUACUUCGCUCGACAGAUCUCAUCCUUCUGUAGUAUCGACUGUACCACCAUCUUGCAGCUGCAUGAAAUUCCCAGUCUGCAGUCCAUCUACACCCUUGAUGCCGCCAUCUCAAAGGUCCAGGUCUCUUUGGAUGAGCAUUUUUCUAAGAUGGCUGCUGAGACUGAUCCUCAUAAGUCGUCUGAGAUUACCAAGAACCUACUUCCAGCCACGCUACAACUCAUUGACACCUAUGCAUCGUUCACCAGAGCCUAUUUGCUGCAAAACUUUAAUGAAGAGGGAACAACUGAGAAACCUUCCAAGGAGAAACUGCAAGGCUUUGCUGCUGUUUUGGCUAUUGGCUCUAGCAGGUGCAAGGCAAAUACUCUGGGUCCGACACUGGUUCAGAAUUUGCCAUCGUCAGUGCAGGCUGUGUGUGAGUCCUGGAACAACAUCAAUACCAAUGAAUUUCCCAAUAUUGGAUCCUGGCGCAAUGCCUUUGCCAAUGACACCAUCCCUUCAGAGAGUUAUAUUAGUGCAGUGCAGGCUGCACACCUGGGGACUCUCUGUAGCCAAAGUCUGCCCCUGGCUGCUUCCCUGAAGCAUACCCUCCUCUCACUGGUCAGGUUGACUGGAGAUCUUAUUGUUUGGUCAGAUGAGAUGAACCCACCACAGGUAAUUCGGACACUGCUACCUCUUCUUUUGGAAUCAAGCACUGAGAGUGUUGCCGAGAUCAGUAGCAACUCCCUGGAACGCAUCUUGGGCCCUGCUGAGUCUGAUGAGUUCUUGGCUCGUGUUUAUGAGAAGCUGAUCACUGGUUGUUACAACAUUCUGGCCAAUCAUGCAGAUCCUAACAGUGGACUGGAUGAAUCCAUCCUGGAGGAAUGUCUCCAGUACUUGGAAAAGCAGCUGGAAAGUAGCCAGGCUCGUAAAGCUAUGGAGGAGUUUUUCUCUGACAGUGGAGAACUUGUACAGAUCAUGAUGGCAACAGCCAAUGAAAACCUCUCUGCUAAAUUCUGUAACCGAGUUUUGAAAUUCUUCACCAAACUCUUCCAGCUGACUGAGAAGAGCCCUAACCCAAGCCUGUUGCAUCUCUGUGGCUCCCUGGCACAACUGGCCUGUGUGGAACCUGUGCGCCUGCAGGCCUGGCUCACCCGCAUGACUACAUCUCCCCCAAAAGAUUCUGAUCAGCUGGAUGUAAUUCAGGAGAACCGGCAGCUGCUGCAGUUACUGACCACAUACAUUGUUCGGGAAAACAGCCAAGUUGGGGAAGGUGUGUGUGCUGUUCUUCUGGGCACCCUGACUCCCAUGGCAACAGAGAUGCUGGCCAACGGUGAUGGGACUGGCUUCCCUGAACUUAUGGUUGUGAUGGCCACUCUGGCCAGUGCAGGUCAAGGUGCUGGUCACCUUCAGCUUCAUAAUGCUGCUGUGGAUUGGCUGAGCAGAUGCAAGAAAUACCUGUCACAGAAGAAUGUAGUUGAAAAACUGAAUGCCAAUGUAAUGCAUGGAAAGCAUGUGAUGAUCUUGGAGUGCACAUGCCAUAUCAUGUCUUACUUGGCUGAUGUCACAAAUGCCCUGAGCCAGAGUAACGGUCAAGGCCCAAGUCAUCUCUCAGUGGAUGGGGAAGAGCGGGCCAUUGAAGUAGACUCAGACUGGGUGGAGGAGUUGGCGGUGGAAGAGGAAGAUUCCCAGGCUGAGGAUUCAGAUGAAGAUUCUCUUUGCAAUAAACUCUGCACUUUUACGAUCACACAGAAAGAAUUCAUGAACCAGCAUUGGUACCACUGUCACACCUGUAAAAUGGUGGAUGGCGUGGGUGUCUGCACAGUGUGUGCUAAGGUGUGCCACAAGGAUCAUGAGAUUUCCUAUGCCAAGUAUGGAUCCUUCUUCUGUGACUGUGGAGCCAAGGAAGAUGGCAGCUGUUUGGCUCUGGUGAAGAGAACUCCUAGUAGUGGCAUGAGCUCUACCAUGAAGGAGUCGGCAUUUCAGAGUGAACCCAGGAUUUCAGAGAGUCUAGUGCGUCAUGCCAGCACCUCCUCGCCAGCUGACAAAGCCAAGGUUACCAUCAGUGAUGGAAAGGUUGCUGACGAAGAGAAGCCCAAGAAGAGCAGCCUCUGCCGCACAGUAGAGGGCUGCCGGGAGGAAUUACAGAACCAGGCCAAUUUCUCCUUCGCUCCUCUCGUGUUAGACAUGCUUAAUUUCCUUAUGGAUGCCAUUCAGACCAACUUCCAGCAAGCUUCAGCCGUCGGGAGCAGCAGCCGUGCUCAGCAAGCCCUCAGUGAGCUACACACUGUGGAGAAGGCAGUGGAGAUGACAGACCAGCUGAUGGUUCCCACCUUAGGCUCCCAGGAAGGUGCCUUUGAGAAUGUGCGGAUGAAUUACAGUGGAGACCAGGGCCAGACCAUCCGGCAGCUGAUCAGUGCUCAUGUGCUCAGGCGGGUGGCUAUGUGUGUGCUCUCCUCUCCCCAUGGGCGCCGCCAACAUUUGGCUGUCAGCCAUGAGAAGGGCAAGAUCACUGUUCUGCAGCUCUCUGCACUCCUGAAGCAAGCAGAUUCCAGCAAAAGGAAGUUAACUCUGACCCGCUUGGCUUCUGCCCCAGUUCCUUUUACUGUGUUGAGCCUCACAGGAAAUCCCUGCAAGGAAGACUACUUGGCGGUUUGUGGGCUAAAGGACUGCCAUGUGCUCACCUUUAGUAGCUCAGGCUCUGUUUCGGAUCACUUGGUUUUGCACCCUCAGUUGGCAACGGGGAACUUCAUCAUCAAAGCCGUGUGGUUACCUGGUUCACAGACCGAGUUAGCAAUUGUCACCGCGGACUUUGUUAAGAUUUAUGACCUGUCUGUUGAUGCCUUGAGUCCAACCUUCUACUUUCUCCUGCCAAGCUCAAAGAUAAGAGAUGUUACCUUCCUUUUCAAUGAGGAGGGAAAGAACAUCAUUGUUAUAAUGUCUUCGGCUGGGUACAUCUAUACUCAGCUUAUGGAAGAGGCCAGCAGUGCCCAGCAGGGACCCUUCUAUGUCACUAAUGUGUUGGAAAUCAAUCAUGAGGACCUGAAGCAGGACAGUAACAGCCAGGUGGCGGGCGGUGGUGUGUCCGUGUACUACUCCCACGUGUUGCAGAUGUUGUUCUUCAGCUAUUGUCAAGGCAAAUCAUUCGCAGCCACCAUCAGCAGGACAACCCUGGAGGUGUUGCAACUCUUCCCCAUCAACAUCAAAAGUUCCAAUGGUGGCAGUAAGACUUCUCCUGCUCUUUGCCAGUGGUCUGAGGUGAUGAACCACCCUGGCUUGGUGUGCUGUGUCCAGCAAACUACAGGGGUGCCGCUGGUAGUUAUGGUGAAACCAGACACUUUUCUUAUCCAGGAGAUUAAGACUCUUCCUGCUAAAGCAAAGAUCCAAGACAUGGUUGCUAUUAGGCACACGGCCUGCAAUGAGCAGCAGCGGACAACAAUGAUUCUGCUGUGUGAGGAUGGCAGUCUGCGCAUUUACAUGGCCAACGUGGAGAACACCUCCUACUGGCUGCAGCCAUCCCUGCAGCCCAGCAGUGUCAUCAGCAUCAUGAAGCCUGUUCGAAAGCGCAAAACAGCUACAAUCACAACCCGCACGUCUAGCCAGGUGACUUUCCCCAUUGACUUUUUUGAACACAACCAGCAGCUGACAGAUGUGGAGUUUGGUGGUAAUGACCUCCUACAGGUCUAUAAUGCACAACAGAUAAAACACCGGCUGAAUUCCACUGGCAUGUAUGUGGCCAACACCAAGCCCGGAGGCUUCACCAUUGAGAUUAGUAACAACAAUAGCACUAUGGUGAUGACAGGCAUGCGGAUCCAGAUUGGGACUCAAGCAAUAGAACGGGCCCCAUCAUAUAUCGAGAUCUUCGGCAGAACUAUGCAGCUCAACCUGAGUCGCUCACGCUGGUUUGACUUCCCCUUCACCAGAGAAGAAGCCCUGCAGGCUGAUAAGAAGCUGAACCUCUUCAGUGAGUCACCAACCCCUGGUGCAGACUCUGUCCUCAUUGUGACUGCGAAAUUGGGAGCCACUGGCCUGUGGCUGUCCAACAUUCUGGGAUCUCUCCACUCUACUGAUUUUUCUGUCCUUUUGUCAGGAAACUUUGAGCUUCAUUUGAUGUAUUAAAGAGGCAAGGUGACAGGAAAGGAGUACACCGGAGCAUGGUAGCAGUAAAGAUAGGGCUGCACUGUGUUGAGUAUUCAUUUCAAUAGUGUUGUGUCCACCUCACUAAUGGGGCUACUUCUGUGUUUAGGCCGAGAGGAGGCAGAUUGACAUGAAAUUGCAAGGCUUUCUUAACGCACAGAGGAAGACCUCAGGUCACACAUGGCUGAGAGAUGGUUGGCAAUGGCUUGCUAUGCCACUGAAAACUAAACUCUCAGAAUACAAAUCCUUGAGCCUUACUCAAGACUGCAUUUCUCUGUCAUUUAUUGGCCACUGUCUGAUGUUCUUUCUUCUAGAUAUAGUUGCUGUUAGUGUGAAUGAUCAUGAUCUGUACUUUGAACAAAGAAAGUGUGUAGAGAGCCCUGGGAGUGAGGGGUAGGGGAUACAAUACUCUGAAGCAGAAGAGGACCCUUGCAGUGAUGGUUAGGGACUCUUCUGAGUAGGAGACGUAAUCGGCUUUUGGUCCAUGGAACUUUUACCACAUGUAUUCAGCAUCUAUACACGAUUAAAGUGCUGCGAAUAUCUCAG
rnacentral:sRNA from 1 species